AGAAUGGGGAGCUUUGUGAGGGGAGGGUUUAUUUUUUAGGAAAAUGCUAACUAGUGCCCCUGGGGCACUGGUUAAGGAGCUAAAUAAGGUAUGAAUGUUUUGGAAAUUGUGUAAUCUACUUUUUAUAAGUAUAAAAAAAUGCUUUUUUCAAUGCAAAAAUUACUCCUUUUGGUAUCCUUAACUAGUGCCCCGGGGGCACUGGUUAGCAUGACCCUAUUUUUUAUCAUAAUACAAAAUUGCAUUGGAGGCGGAUUUUGGAGGGUUUUGAUAAAUUCUUCAAAUUCAAUCUUUGUUGUUAUAAUAUGUUCAAUAUUAAUCAUAAACAUUCAUUUAUCAUUCGUUGCAAAAAUAUUAUUAAAGAUUUCUCUAAUUUUUCCUCUAUUCAUCUCCCCCAAAUUCCUAUCAUUUCCACCCCUCCAACCUCCCAAAAAUAGUCUAAAGGGUUUGAGAGGAGAAUUUUUUAGGGGAUGGGAAGGGAGGAAAAAUUUUCUUUUCUAAAUUACCCAAACUAUAAAAUAUUCUAAAAACGAAUGAAGUGUGAUUGAAUUGUUAUAUGAUCAUAUAUUCGUUCAAUAUUUUUUAAAUCUAAAAUAUAUAUUGAAUUAUAGACCUAGCCCUCCAAAAUUCCCCUCCCAAACGGAUCCAUAAGAAGUUGAUCUCCUUUAUAUAUUUUUUCAUAUGUAUUGGUCAGAGAUCGAAAUUUGAACAAAUGAGAUCCUUUUGCUAUCCUAUGUAUGGUGACUUAAAGAUAGAAAAAAAAAAGUAAUUAAAAAACGAGAUCUUAUAUACACCAUAUAAAUAUACGGUGUUGGACAACUAAAAAGUUAUCAAAAUAACAUUUCUAAUAGUUUAAACAACAAAAAACCCAUCAAUUUAGUACAGAAAGUAUCAC
rnacentral:lncRNA from 1 species